rnacentral:rRNA from 1 species
CCUACGGGAGGCAGCAGUGGGGAAUUUUCCGCAAUGGGCGAAAGCCUGACGGAGCAACGCCGCGUGAGGGAUGAAGGCCUCUGGGCUGUAAACCUCUUUUAUCAAGGAAGAAGAUCUGACGGUACUUGAUGAAUAAGCCACGGCUAAUUCCGUGCCAGCAGCCGCGGUAAUACGGGAGUGGCAAGCGUUAUCCGGAAUUAUUGGGCGUAAAGCGUCCGCAGGCGGUCUUGUAAGUCUGUCGUUAAAGCGUGGAGCUUAACUCCAUUUGAGCGAUGGAAACUGCAAGACUAGAGUGUGGUAGGGGCAGAGGGAAUUCCCGGUGUAGCGGUGAAAUGCGUAGAUAUCGGGAAGAACACCAGUGGCGAAGGCGCUCUGCUGGGCCAUAACUGACGCUUAUGGACGAAAGCCAGGGGAGCGAAAGGGAUUAGAUACCCCUGUAGUCCUGGCCGUAAACGAUGAACACUAGGUGUCGGGGGAAUCGACCCCCUCGGUGUCGUAGCCAACGCGUUAAGUGUUCCGCCUGGGGAGUACGCACGCAAGUGUGAAACUCAAAGGAAUUGACGG